rnacentral:lncRNA from 1 species
CGAGUGGAUCUUAGAUUUGGGAUGUUCUUUCCACAUGUGUCACAAUAGAGAAUGGUUCUCCACAUACAGUUUGGUUGAAGGUGGAGUUGUGCGUAUGGGAAACGAUACAUCUAGUAAGGUAAUUGGUAUUGGUACUGUUAAAAUUAGGAUACACGAUGGGAUGAUUAUGACACUCUCAAAUGUCAGGUAUGUACCUGAUUUACGAAAGAAUCUCAUCUCAUUGAGUAUUUUAGACUUGAAAGGAUGCAGAAUCAACAUCAAGUCGAGUGGUAUUAAUGUAUCUCGUGGAGCUCUCGUUUUGUUAAAAGGUAAAAUAAUCGGCAGUCUUUAUAUUCUAGAAGGUUCUAUAGUGACCGGUGAAAUCGGACGUCCCUCGUCCAUUAUGGAGUCGAAUUCAACUUGUUUGGAGUAGAGGUAACUUGGUCAUAGUAGGGAAAAAGGUAUGACUGUUUCACUGAAGAGAGGUUCUCUUUUGGAUGCAGGUUUUGAAAAGUUUGUGCACUGUGUUCAUGAAAAUCUGACUCGGGUUAGUUUUGAUUUGGUAGUGUACAAGUCGAAAGAAGUCUUCCAGUUUCUAAGCAAAAAUUCAACUCAGUUUACUCCUUGCAUAGUUCAAGAUAUGCUCGUGGCAGGCUUUGGCAAAGAUGGCGUUGUGGAAAUAUGAGUCAAAGUGGAGAUUUUUUAAAUAUGACUCCUAUUUUCAGUCAAAUUUGAGAAAUAAUCUUUCAGUUAAACUCUGUUUAUUUGUUUCAAUCAGACAUUGAUUAGUUUAAAUUAUUUUAUUAUUAUUUGACCUAUGAAUUUAGCCUAUAAAUAGGCUCUUUUACAACCUUAGAAAAUACACCCAUUAGAUAUUAGAACUCAUAACACAUUUAGAGAAUUUUGUGCUUACGUUUUGAGGGUUCUUUGUUUUCGGGUUUUCGGGGUUUAGUUUUAUCUCCAUCUUUUGUGCUCUUCAUUCUUUUGCAAUUAUAAUAAAAUUAUCUUUGCACGUGGUUUUUUAUCCUCUUUGGAAGGGUUUUGCCACGUUAAAUUUGUGUGUUCAAUUUCUCAAUUUAUUCCGCUAUUUUUUUACUUGUUGCUUAAUCGGGUCGAUCCUAACAGAUAAAAAUACAAGUUAUAAACAACUUUGAAAUAUUGUUAUUCUACUAGAAAAGAGUUAGAAUUUAUUUCUAAGUAUAAAUUCUAUUUUCCAGAAAUAACAACUAAUUUUUUUUUUUACUUUCAGUUUCUAUAAGCGAGAUUUACUUUCCUGCUGAAAGUAAAAAAAAAUGUUUUUAGUUCUAUGUUUGAUUUAUAAUUGUUGGAGCCCACACUAGAAACAAUUUGUGGUACGAGAAAUAGUGGAGAAGGUUGUUCAAUUGAAAGUCUGGAACGUCAAAGAUCCGUCUCACUCAAAGCAGAGGUAAUUUUUGGAAAAAAAAAUUAGUGUUAUGAGUAUUACAAACCAACUCGAUUUUUAAUUUUAUUUUUUCGUUAUACAAGAAAACUAUUCCGAAUCGAAUAUUUUUCAACAUUUACAUGCAUUAGAGUUUUGAUAUCGUAUAUGGCUCAAGUGUGCAAUUCUUGUUUUUUUUUGGAGGAAUACCUAGUGUGUUUGAAAUGUCAUCCAUGUAUCCAAAUUUCUUUUUCCAUGUUCGAUCAAUUAGGGCAACAUUUAAAUGGCAAUUUUUAAAGUGGUGUGACAAAUGAAAUUUUAUAUGACUGGUGUGGUUUGAUGGAAGCUUAAUUCGAAAUGUGACAUUAAGAUAUAUAUGAAUUGAUGAUUAUUGUUUAUAUGAUUUAUAUGUUAUGAAGUGUUAACAUAUUUGUUGUUUUGAGCAUGUUUGAAUUGCUUGAAAGGAUUUAUAUAUAAAUUGUUAGUAUGCCUAUUGUCUAUUGUUUAUUAAGCAUGUAUGGUGUAUAUGGAUUUCGAGUGCACAAUUAAGCUUUUGAGAAAAAGUUGAGCGUGCAGAUUUUUUCCAUGCGCGGGUUACAAGGAGAUUGGAGGUUGAUUUCCAUAUUUGUGCAGCAACAAUAUAAGGAGUUCUCAACGAGUCUACUUAAUUUGUAAAGACUUUUGGCUUUUUAGUAAUCUAUGGCAUGUACUUGUCUAAUUACGCUUUAAUCUUAUCAAUUGGAAUUUUUAUUUGGAAUUUUUAGUUUUUUCUUUUUUUUUUAAAUCUUUUGGCAUAUUGAUAUUUGUACGGACACAUUAUAGUGACUUUUGGUACUAAUUUUUAUGUGAUUUCUAAUGAUAUGUUUGAAAUAGCAAGUCUUUUUUUACUAGCAUGACUAAAAUUUGAUUUGAUAUGUUUCUAGGCAUGAAUUUAUAUGUUAUGGUGAUGUUUUAGUAUGUCUAACUUCCUGAAUGUAUUAGGUAACAUGUUUAGGAUAUUUAAAGGCAUGAUUGCAUGACAUUUUUUUUACUACAUUUUGUAAGCUUAAGUCUCGAGAUAAGAUAAACAUGUUUCAAGACGUGAAACAUUACUUAAACUGUACAUUUUUAAGUGCAUGUUUGAAGAUAUAGAGAGCUAAGUCUCGGCACAUACAAGCAAGUCUCAAAAUAUUAGGAUUUGUCUUGAUACUUUGGCCUGGGUAUUGAGACCUGACUCCUCAUUUGAUUAAUUUUGGCCCUAGAACUUUGUAAUAAGGUCAUUUGAGCUUGAUUUUCACUAAUAUUGAUAUGUAAUCAUCCAAAUUGUUGUGUAACAUGUUUUUAACUCAAAUUUAUAUGCAUUUUGACUUUAAGUUUGAUUGUUUGAGUUGCUUCAGCAAUGUAUGUGAUGCUAUAUAUUCAGUUGUCUUUACAGAUCAAAUGUAGAGUGUUUCAUGUAUUUUUAAUAAUUGUAUUAAAUUUAUAAAAAUGAAAUCAUUAAAAAUAGAAUAAUUUAGGUUAUAGAAAACUAAACAAAUCCUAAAAAAAAAAAUUCAUAAACUAAGGUGAUACUAUUUUAGUACAAACAUUAUAGGGAUGCUAAUCAUUCUUUACCCAUAAUCAUUUUUUUAGGAUUUUCCUUAAAUUAGUUCUAAAAUAAAUCAUACCUAACGUAAUUAAUUAGUGAAGACUCUAGCUAUAAUUUCCAUGUCCAACUUAUUAGAAAUAACCAACAUCUAUUCGUAACACUAGCUUAUACAAAUUGUAAAAUUUUAAAAAUGAAACUUGUAAUUAUCGUAUUGUCUAUCAUAACUUACUAAUUUGUUAUAAAUUAGUAAUGAUUAUUUUAUCUACCAUUUACUACAAUAUUAUUAAUAUAUCACUACAAUCUAUAUAAUUAUUUGUUACUAUAUUAAGUAUCUAAUAAAUAUUUUACAAAUUUAAGGGUCUUAGUAAAAGGAUUAUUUAGGACGUUAAGUGAAUUGUGCUUUAACAUGUAAAUUAAAAUAAUUUCAAAACUUAAAAUUAUAAUUAAAAUAUCAUAUUACAAAAAAUAGAUAUUAGUAAAUAGAGAAGUUACUUAUUUUUUUAUUAAUAGAUUAUAUAAUUUAUAUAGGUCUAAUUAUGAAAUUUAUUAUUACGUUGUCAAUAAUUUAAUUUAAUUUUAUAAAAAUUUUAGUUAUAAUUCUACUUUGAUAAACAUCUUUUAAUUAAAAAAAUGUAAUGUAGACAUGAUUGUGAGCCACCCUAUUAAGUUAUCAUAAUUUCAAACUCAAAUAUGUAUUAAUAGUUGUAUCCUAAAAGAUGAUUAUGUUUUUAAGUGUACAACUUUUAAAAGUUAUAUAUAAAUUUUCUAUUAGAUAUAAAUUUAUUAUAGUUUUAUCUAUAAAUUAGUAAAUUUUAUUAAAAAAUCAAUCUAAAAGGUUUAAAAUUUAAUUACUUAAUUAACCAACUUUAUUUUUUUUGGUAUAUUUAGUUCAUUUAUAUUUAAAUAAAUUAAUAAAAUUAUUAUGCCAAACUCUAUUCUUACAUAUUUAUUAAUUUAAAUCUAAAUAAAAAAUAUAUAUGUAUAUAUAUUUAAAUUGAAUAAUUUUGUUUAUUUUAACCUUUUAAAAGAUAUUUUUAUUAUUCACUAAUAGUUGCUUAUAUCUAUACGGAUGAUACAAGAGAUACUAGAACAUGAGAAUUAUUAGCAGAGUUAAGUGGCUAUAUAUGUGGCUUUAGCUUCACCACCAAAAACAUCAACAAGAUUUUUCCAAAUCCACGAGGCAUAAAAUCAACCUAUACAACUCUCCAAAAAAUCCAAUUGCAAAUCCACACCAAUGCAGCAACCAAUAGACUGCUGCUGACAUGUACAUUUCCUGAUCCACAACAUCUUCUCAUUUCCAUUAUAACCCCUUCUCUCCUCCAAACCAAAAUAGACUACAAUAACCAUCGGCAAACAAACCAAGUCAACCUAAAGCCUUAGGCACCAUGGCAACCUCUGCUAUCCAACAAUCUACUUUUGUUGGCCAGACCGCUUUGAAGCAGUCCAAUGAGCUCUUACGCAAAGUCGGAGCUUUCAAUGGUGGUCGUGUUACCAUGCGCAGAACUGUGAAAAAUGCCCCUACUAGCAUCUGGUAUACUUUUGUUACUACUUCCUAGUACUAACUAGUAGCAUUUUGUUAUAAGGAUCUUUUCAGUCUAAUCAUUGAUGGUUAACCCAAAUAUUGUGAAACAACGGACUGUAAAAAAUUCAAUUUGUACAGUACAUUCUAGCAGCAAUCUGCCUUAUUUUAAGCCAUACAUUUAAAGAGAAAUAACAUGUACAAGCGAAAUCAUGCAACUGAACUAUAUUUCUGCUUUUUGAUCUGAUUACCUACGGUUUGGUUUUAAAAACAGGUAUGGCCCUGACCGCCCAAAGUACUUGGGUCCAUUCUCAGACCAAAUCCCAUCAUACCUGACAGGUGAAUUCCCUGGUGACUAUGGGUGGGACACUGCUGGGUUAUCAGCUGACCCUGAGACAUUUGCUAAGAACCGUGAGCUUGAAGUGAUCCACUGCAGAUGGGCAAUGCUUGGUGCCCUUGGUUGUGUCUUCCCUGAAAUUCUUUCAAAGAAUGGAGUUAAGUUCGGAGAGGCAGUUUGGUUCAAAGCUGGAUCUCAAAUAUUCUCCGAGGGCGGCCUUGACUAUCUUGGCAACCCAAACCUUAUCCAUGCUCAGAGCAUUCUUGCAAUCUGGGCAUGCCAAGUUGUGCUCAUGGGAUUUGUUGAAGGAUACAGAGUUGGUGGGGGACCACUUGGUGAAGGACUGGACCCAAUUUACCCAGGUGGUGCUUUCGACCCACUUGGACUGGCUGAUGAUCCUGAUGCGUUCGCAGAAUUGAAGGUUAAGGAGAUCAAGAAUGGCCGCCUUGCAAUGUUCUCCAUGUUUGGAUUCUUUGUCCAGGCUAUUGUCACAGGAAAGGGUCCCAUUGAGAACCUCUUUGACCACCUUGCCGAUCCGGUGGCCAACAAUGCAUGGGCUUAUGCCACUAACUUUGUCCCCGGAAAAUGAACUUAGAUUAUAGAUACGUCUCUGAAAGCUGUAACAUUAAUUACUAUGUAGUGUCUGUUGCUGUGUACUGAUGUAAUUCACUGCUAGUCUUUUGAGCUGUUGUAUCAUUAAAGCCAUAUCCUUUUUCCCUGAAAUAGCAC